rnacentral:tRNA from 1 species
UCACAAAAGCAUAACACUGAAAAUGUUAACAUGGACAAAAGUCCCGAAUGACAA